GAUGAACGCUGGCGGCGUGCCUAAUACAUGCAAGUCGAGCGAACGGACGAGAAGCUUGCUUCUCUGAUGUUAGCGGCGGACGGGUGGGUAACACGUGGAUAACCUACCUAUAAGACUGGGAUAACUUCGGGAAACCGUAGCUAAUACCGGAUAAUAUUUUGAACCGCAUGGUUCAAAAGUGAAAGACGGUCUUGCUGUCACUUAUAGAUGGAUCCGCGCUGCAUUAGCUAGUUGGAAGGUAACGGCUUACCAAGGCAACGAUGCAUAGCCGACCUGAGAGGGUGAUCGGCCACACUGGAACUGAGACACGGUCCAGACUCCUACGGGAGGCAGCAGUAGGGAAUCUUCCGCAAUGGGCGAAAGCCUGACGGAGCAACGCCGCGUGAGUGAUGAAGGUCUUCGGAUCGUAAAACUCUGUUAUUAGGGAAGAACAUAUGUGUAAGUAACUGUGCACAUCUUGACGGUACCUAAUCAGAAAGCCACGGCUAACUACGUG
rnacentral:rRNA from 1 species